rfam:Clostridium tetani E88, complete genome.
AAAUAUAAUAAAGCGCCAGGACUUAGGUGAUGAAACUCAGACUAUGGUCUGAGUAAGUUCGACUAACCAAAUCACAGAUUUGGAGUAAGAUUAAUGAAACUCAGACUAUGGUCUGAGUAAGUUCCACCAACCAAAUCACAGAUUUGGGGUGUCACUUAAGUUGACGAGGAUGGGGAGUAUCGAAUCUUCGGCGGGUGCCCCACGGUACUGCACUACCGUUAAAGAUUGACAAAACCAAGGAGUAAUUUUUGGUACAAAUCAAUCAGGUGUUAAAA